rnacentral:lncRNA from 1 species
AUGCCCCCACUUCCCAACCGAUCCAGGACCAGCAACAAUGGCGUCACUGAUGACAGCAACAACAAUGAUGACAACAACAUCAUCAAUAAUGUCAGCAACAACAUCAAUGUCGGCAACAACAACAUCAAUAAUGUCAGCAACAAAAACAUCAUCAAUAAUGUCAGCAACAAAAACAUCAUCAAUAAUGUCAGCAACAAAAACAUCAUCAAUAAUGUCAGCAACAACAUCAAUGUCGGCAACAACAACAUCAUCAAUAAUGUCAGCAACAAAAACAUCAUCAAUAAUGUCAGCAACAACAACAUCAUCAAUAAUGUCAGCAACAACAACAUCAUCAAUAAUGUCAGCAACAAUAUCAAUGUCAGCAACAACAGCAGCAUCAUUAAUGACAACAGCACCAAUAAUGACAACAACAGCACCAAUAAUGACAUCAACAGCACCAAUAAUGACAUCAACAGCACCAAUAAUGACAGCAACAACAACAGCACCAAUAAUGACAACAGCACCAAUAAUGACAACAGCACCAAUAAUGACAGCAACAACAACAGCACCAAUAAUGACAACAACAACAACAGCACCAAUAAUGACAACAGCACCAAUAAUGACAGCAACAACAACAGCACCAAUAAUGACAGCAACAACAACAGCAACAGCACCAAUAAUGACAGUAACAGCACCAAUAAUGACAACAACAGCACCAAUAAUGACAGCAACAACAGCACCAAUAAUGACAACAACAGCACCAGUAAUGACAUCAACAACAACAACAGCACCAAUAAUGGCAGCAACAACAACAACAGCACCAAUAAUGACAACAACAGCACCAGUAAUGACAUCAACAACAACAGCACCAAUAAUGGCAGCAGCAACAACAACAGCAAUAAUGACAACAGCACCAAUAAUGACAACAGCACCAAUAAUGACAGCAACAACAACAGCACCAAUAAUGACAACAGCACCAAUAAUGACAGCAACAACAACAGCACCAAUAAUGACAUCAACAACAACAGCAACAACAACAGCAUCAAUAAUGACAGCAACAACAGCAACAGCACCAAUAAUGACAGUAACAGCACCAAUAAUGACAGCAACAACACCACCAAUAAUGACAACAACAGCACCAAUAAUGACAGCAACAACAACAGCACCAAUAAUGACAACAACAGCACCAGUAAUGACAUCAACAACAACAACAGCACCAAUAAUGGCAGCAGCAACAACAACAGCACCAGAAACAGUCCUGGUAAAGUGGUGAAGAUCAGACAGUCUGUAUCCCUCGCCACAAUGACUAAACAGGAUCCUCAAUGA